CCCCUCAAUGUUUAGCCCCUUGUGGGCAAUAAAGAAAUAAGAAAUGUGGAAUGGUGGCUAAGCGGCAACUUCUUGUUGAACUGUUUAAUUGCAAAAACGAUAGAAAAGGUUUCUGCCGUCAUAAUAGAGGAAAGAUGUUUCUUUGUUCAAAUUUAAUCAGGGUUAGUUUACCUGUCAUUCUGUAUAGGGGUGGGUGUUAAUAAAAAUCAUCACCAUCACCAUUACCACAACCAUUAUUUAUAAACAUUUCAUGUUAAACCUUUGGCUCUCACUUAGCGUUAUGCUGAAAAAUUGUCCAACUGUACUUUAUUUCUCCGCUACUGUAAGAUGUCUAUUCACUAGUCUAGAAACCUAGUUUUUUAAAUUUUUUAUUCUAUCCAUCAGAUACAUAUUUUACUGGCCACUUAAAAAUCUUUGUUUUGUGUUUUUUUAAUUUUGUCUUUCCUUUGUUUUUAAUUCUUUAUAAAUCCUUGAACUUUUGUGGAUUUGAAAAAUUCUCUUUGCACUUGGUACUAAACACAGUCUGCUCUUAUUUCUAAUGAUAACAUUGGCUUCUAAUACUGGCUUCCUAGAUGGUUCCGGGUUUUGUUUGCAUAAUUAAAAAUGCAUUAGUUGUCAACAUAUCCCAGGCAUAAUGAUAUUCAUGUUAUAAAGAUGGACUAUGCUUUAUUUUACUAAUGUAUUACAGUAACAUAAUGGGAUUAAGUCAAUUGGCUAUAUCCUGUUUUAUUUGUGUGUGUGUGUGUAUUAGACGUUAUAAUGAGUCAAAAACAUUUUAAGCUUCAUCCACAUACAGGCACACACACACAUUCAUGCAUACAUACAGAAUCUUUGUCCUGCAUUAUGACAAUAUUUUAUAUACAUAUACACAUGUACAAACUGUUUAUAAUAUGUUUGUACUGUAUGUCAAUAUAUAAAUGCUAAUAGAAAUAUAGAAAGAAAAGCAUAGACUCUUUCAUCAUAGCUAUAAUUUGUUUGGUUAAACAUUUGCUAUGCUUCUGUUGUGGCGGACUUCCCCAAGUAAGAAGUAGGCUGUCGCACUACUGAUAAAUAGUGGACAGACACAGCAAGUGGUGUCAGUCGGUGAGGACAUAUCAAUGGUGACGAGGAGUUGAACUACAUGCAGUGGCAGAUAAGACUAACACAGAACUGAACUA